rnacentral:rRNA from 1 species
CCUACGGGAGGCAGCAGUGAGGAAUAUUGGUCAAUGGGCGGAAGCCUGAACCAGCCAAGCAGCGUGCAGGAUGACGGCCCUACGGGUUGUAAACUGCUUUUAUACGGGAAUAACGCGCCUUACGUGUAGGGCUUUGCAUGUACCGUAUGAAUAAGGACCGGCUAAUCCCGUCCCAGAAGCCGCGGUAAUACGGAAGGUCCGGGCGUUAUCCGGAUUGAUUGGGUUUAAAGGGAGCGGAGGCCGGAGGUUAAGUGUGGUGUGAAAUGUCCGGGCUCAACCCGGGCCUUGCAGCGCGAACUGGCGUGCUUGAGUCCGCGGAAGGCAGGCGGAAUUCGUGGUGUAGCGGUGAAAUGCGUAGAGAUGACGAAGAACCCCGAUUGCGAAGGCAGCUUGCUGCAGCGGAACUGACGCUGAGGCUCGAAAGCGCGGGGAUCGAACAGGAUUAGAUACCCCAGUAGUC